rfam:Lactobacillus ozensis DSM 23829 = JCM 17196 strain DSM 23829 NODE_101, whole genome shotgun sequence.
CCACAGCUACAACCGCACAGAAUAAGUAUUAAGUUUCUAUAGUGAACGCUUAAUUUUGGCGAGUCUAAGCAAAUAU